GGACGCCGUAUAGUAUAGAUGUUUCUAUUUGAACCGAACAAUACAACGGAACCUACAGAUGAAUCAGUGCCGGUUUUGAAAUAUAACUCACUCCUACAGCAUCGAUAAAGCAGAGUUGAUAACUUAGUGACAACAUGUGUUGUUUAUGUGAAGCGGUGUCAUGCAUCUGUUCAACUAUUACUCUGAUUGUACUGAUAGCGCUAAUAACUGGAAUUGUAUUUUUGGUACUAUUUCUCGAGAAGAAAUUGUAGAAUCUGGACUGAUUGACAUCCCUCAAUUCAAAAAUUUUUUGAAUUACCUUUUUUCUACCUGACUUUGCUGAAUUCACAUGGAUAGACUAUUUAUACCUUUGUUCGAAGUUAAUGAAUAAUGAUUUACAUUAAAAUUGUGAGAUUCAAA